CACACACACAGAGACAAAAGUUGCAUAGUCAUGAUUUUCCUCUUCACAUAGAAUAUGAAGCUCUCUGUGGUAGGUCAUAAGAAUAUAUAUAGUUUUGUUAAAUCUGGUUCACAUCCAAAUCGUGACCAUACCUGGUACGGCCAUGUGUAUCCCACAUUCAAACAAAAAUAUCACACACACACACCCACACACACACACACACACACACACACACAAACACACACACACACAAACACACACGUGCAUGUACAGACAAACGCAUGCAUACGAACCUGCUUAUAAAAGUCGAGCAUCCCUCUAGGCUUUAUAAUACUCUGUACUUAGAACAACGUGUGCGAUCUUACAACAUGGCUGAUGUUUGUCCUAACGCGCCGAAAAAAGCUCACCCUUUUUUGGGAAGAAUAGAAAAAAUGUUAGAACAUGAAAAGAUUCAAUAUUGGGUAAUGUCAAACGAAUGUACAGCCGGGUUUUUUUUCGAUGCAGAAAAAGGAACCGUUUUGCUUUUCAAGUUCUCGGUCCCGGGAACACACGAUCUUUUCCUUUCACGUAGAAUAUGAAGCACUCUGAGUUAGGCCUAGGUCAAAAGGUCAACAACGUAAAACACCCGUUCUGAUGCAUUCCCGAGCACAAACACACCCCCCCACACACACACACACACACACUCGAAUGCAUACGAACCUGUUUAUAAAGUCGAGCACUUCGAAAGUUUUAACAGCGGAAAAGGUUCGACCGAAUUUCCAGAGUCAGUUCUUCACUACUUCGAAAGUUUGAACAUCGGCAAAGUUCAACAGAAUUUCCAGACCCCAUGGAUUUCUCGGCAGGUAAAAAUUUGUAUUUUAUUCAAUUAAUAGUUAAAUAUAAAUUGAAAUACAAUGUUUAUGUAAUUAUCCAGUAGGCAAUGAUAUUGAUAUAAACUCAGAACUAAUCUUUCUGAGUACAAAAAUCAUCAUACUUAUCUGGUCAUUAUGUAAUCUGGUACGAUACUUUAUCUAAAUUGUAAAUAUUCAUUACAUUUAUAUUACAGUGCAAGACCGAGUUAAGCUCAUCUGUUUCUAGUGUAUAGACAGCUUGGUGAUUAUUUCUGAUGAUGAGAUUCCCGAAACAACCACUCAGGACCUUUUGAAUCUGAGUUCCACACAAUUUGAGGGAAACGUGUCUAACAGUGAUUACGACGGAGAUAUU